CACAGGAAAAUCAAGGAAUGCAAUAAAGCAAAGAGUAAUUCUGUAAGAAGGAUUGCUUAUUUGACCAGAAGCAAGUUUUAUUUCCGUAAUGAGCAGUGCCUCAGAAAGGUAGCGCCCAUCAUUAAGGAUCUCCACCACCCAGGCCAAGCCCUCUUUCUCAUUGUUACCGUCAGGAAGGAGGUACAGAAGCCUGAAGGCACACACUCAGCAAUUCGGGAAGAGCUUCUUCCCCUCUGCUAUCGGUUGGUUAAUGGACAUUGAACCCAUGAACACUACCUCACUACUUUUUUUUUAUUUCUGUUUUUGCUCUACUGAUUUUAACUAUUUGAUAUCCAUAUAUCUACUUACUGUAAUUAUUUUUUUCUUUUUUUCUAUAUUUAUUAUGUAUUGCAUUGUAGUGCUGCUGCAAAGUUAACAAAUUUUACGACAUGUGCUGAUGAUACUAAACCUGAUUCUGAUAGCCCUACUGAUCAAAAAUGCUCCCAUUAGUUCUGAAAAUAGAGACAUUCACACAGAGGGUGGUGGGGAGUGAUUUUACACUGAGGCCACUGUUCAAACUUCUAAUAUCAUAAGAUAUAACAACCGAAUUAGGCCAUUCAGCCCAUCAAGUCUGCUCCAGCAUUUCAUCAUGGCUGAUUUAUAAUCCCUCUUAGCCCCAUUCUCCUGUCUUCUUCCCAUAACCUUUGAUGCCCUGACUAAUGAAAAACCCAUCGACCUCCACUUUAAAUAUACCAAAUGACUUAGAAACAUAGAAACAUAGAAAAUAGGUGCAGGAGUAGGCCAUUUGGCCCUUCGAGCCUGCACCACCAUUCAGUAUGAUCAUGGCUGAUCAUCCAACUCAGAACCCUGUACCUGCUUUCUCUCCAUACCCCCUGAUCCCUUUAGCCACAAGGGCUAUAUCUAACUCCCUCUUAAAUAUAGCCAAUGAACUGGCCUCAACUGUUUCCUGUGGCAGAGAAUUCCACAGAUUCACCACUGUCUGUCUGAAGAAGUUUUUCCUCAUCUCGGUCCUAAAUGGCUUCCCCUUUAUCCUUAACCUGUGACCCCUUGUUCUGGACUUCUCCAACAUCAGAAACAAUCUCCCUGCAUCUAGCCUGCCCAAUCCCUUUAGAAUGUUAUACGUGGUUCUGUCCUAGCUUAGAGAAAUUUUGGAAAGAUGUCUUCAUAACUUUAUCCUAUAUUCUGAAUCACCAGUUAGAACCUAACCCUUUAAUUGCUUUGUUUGGUCUUUUGGGUGAGACAGAUUUACAUUUGAGUUCAACUAAGUGUCGAAUAUUAUAAUGCUUCUCUCCUGGCUAGACAUUUAAUCCUCCUUAGAUGGUGAGAUGUUGCCCUGCCCACGCAUGCUCAAUGGCUUAAUGAUAUUAUGUCCUGCUUAGACCUUGAAAAAAUUCAUUACUCAGUUCUUAAUUUGGAUAUAAAGUUCCAUAAGGUCUGGGGACCUUUUAUUGAGUACUUUCAUAACCUUCCUCCUAACUAAGGUUUUUUUUUCGGUCCCUUGCUUUCAGUUCUUCUUUUGGUAGUAGGCAUUAUUAUCUUCUGUUUUCAAGUGUAUUUACAGUUUUGGGAGUUUGAAUGUCCUGAUUUAUAUUCUCUAUAUUGUGUUGUGGUUGGGCUGGAGUUUUUUUUUGUUGCGGGGCUUGGGGAGGAUAUUAACAUUACAUGUCUUCAAUUUGGGUGCUUUCUCAAUUAUCUUUUUUGUAUUACAUUAUUAUUGUAUGUUUAUUUUUGCACUGUAUUAAUUUUCUUCAUUUUGAUUUGGGGUUUUUUUUCUAUCUGUAGUGAUGUAGAAAAUGCAUAAAGAAACGAAUAAAAAAAAAAGAAUGUUAUACGUUUCAAUAAGAUCCCCCCUCAAUCUUCUGAAUUCCACCACAGGCAAGGUCCCAGAUGACUGAUAAGUAUCUGAUGUCGUUCCAUUAUUCAAGAAGGGAGCCAGGGAUAAUCCCGGAAACUAUAGACUGGUCUUUCUGGCCCUUUGAGCCACACUACCCAGCAACCGAUGGCAACCCCGAUUUAACCCUAACCUCAUCACGGGACAGUUUGCAAUAACUAGUUAACCCACCCUACAUUGUUUGGACUGUGCGAGGAAACUGGCGGCCCUGAAGAGAACCCACACAUUCCACAGAGAGGACGUACAGAGACUUCUUAUAGAGGAUGCUGGACUUGAACUCCAAACUCUGACGCCCCGAGCUUUAGUAGCGUUGCACGAACCGCUACACUACCCUUGUUCUGAAGUACUACUACAAAGGGCUACUUUUCAUGGCA